rnacentral:rRNA from 1 species
CCUACGGGUGGCAGCAGUGGGGAAUAUUGGUCAAUGGGCGGGAGCCUGAACCAGCCAAGUCGCGUGAGGGAAGACGGUCCUAUGGAUUGUAAACCUCUUUAGGCGGGGAGCAAUGCCGGGCACGCGUGCCCGGAGGGAGAGUACCCGCAGAAUAAGCAUCGGCUAACUCCGUGCCAGCAGCCGCGGUAAUACGGAGGAUGCGAGCGUUAUCCGGAUUUAUUGGGUUUAAAGGGUGCGUAGGCGGAUUUUUAAGUCAGCGGUAAAAUGUCCGGGCUCAACCCGGGCCGGCCGUUGAAACUGGGAGGCUUGAGUAUGUUUGAGGCAGGCGGAAUGCGUGGUGUAGCGGUGAAAUGCUUAGAUAUCACGCAGAACCCCGAUUGCGAAGGCAGCCUGCCAAGCCAUGACUGACGCUGAUGCACGAAAGCGUGGGGAUCAAACAGGAUUAGAUACCCGAGUAGUC